rnacentral:rRNA from 1 species
GUCCACGCCGUAAACGUUGGGCACUAGGUGUGGGGCUCGAUCGACGGGCUCCGUGCCGUAGCUAACGCAUUAAGUGCCCCGCCUGGGAAGUACGGCCGCAAGGCUAAAACUCAAAGGAAUUGACGGGGGCCCGCACAAGCGGCGGAGCAUGUUGCUUAAUUCGAUGCAACGCGAAGAACCUUACCAAGGCUUGACAUGUAGGGAAAAGCCGUAGAGAUACGGUGUCCUUCGGGGCCCUACACAGGUGGUGCAUGGCUGUCGU